rnacentral:rRNA from 1 species
UACGGAGGAUGCGAGCGUUAUCCGGAUUUAUUGGGUUUAAAGGGUGCGUAGGCGGGCUUUUAAGUCAGCGGUAAAAAUUCGGGGCUCAACCCCGUCCGGCCGUUGAAACUGGGGGUCUUGAGUGGGCGAGAAGAAGGCGGAAUGCGUGGUGUAGCGGUGAAAUGCAUAGAUAUCACGCAAAACCCCGAUUGCGAAGGCAGCCUUCCGGCGCCCUACUGACGCUGAGGCACGAAAGUGCGGGGAUCGAACAGG